UUGAAAGGGAAACGAUUGAAGUCAGUCAUGCUAGUGAGGAAUCAGCGCGAGGGUUCGCUCUCGUGUGCACUUCUUCGCUUGGCAGGUUAGCAUCAAUUUUGGUCGUCAUAAAAUUAUUGGGGUAAGGUGGCUCCCCUCGGGGAGUGUUAUAGACCCUAGUAGAUGUGAUGACCGGGAUUGAGGAUUGCAGCGAAUGCUAGCUUGGCUAGUCACCUGGAUUUCUGUUGAUCACCUCGCCGUUGAUACKUCGCUAACCUCGGUGGGAUCUGAUUAACUAGAGAUUAGACUGAUCGUAAAUUCGCUAAGGAUGCUGACGUA
rnacentral:rRNA from 1 species